rnacentral:rRNA from 1 species
AACGAACGCUGGCGGCAUGCCUAACACAUGCAAGUCGAACGAGACCUCCGGGUUUAGUGGCGCACGGGUGCGUAACGCGUGGGAACCUGCCCUUAUGUCCGGAAUAACUCCCCGAAAGGGGUGCUAAUACCGGAUAACGUCUUCGGACCAAAUAUUUAUCGUCUUUGUAUGGGCCCGAAUUGGAUUAGCUAGUAAGUAGAGUAAAAGCCUACCAAGGCGACGUUCCAUAGCUGGUCUGAGAGGAUGAUCAGCCACACUGGGGCUGAGACACGGCCCGGACUCUUAGGGGAUGCAGCAGAGCUGAAUCUUGCACAGUAGUCGAAGGGCUGAUCCUGCAAUGGCUCGUGAGAUAUGUAAGCCUUAGAGUAGUAGAUCGCUUUUAACCAAGAAUUUAGUGACAGUACCGGGAGAAUAAGCUCCGGCUAACUACGUG